GAGAAGAGAGGUUAGACUAAUUGUGGGGUAUGCACCUUGUGUAAGAGAGCUAAUGAGACUGUGGUCCACCUAUUCUUCAAGUGCCGAUACACUAAGAGAGUUUGGAGAAUGAUCAAGGACUGGCUCAGCUUGGAGAUGUUGGACACCUCUAGUUGGGUGAAUCACCGGUCUGUUUGAGCCUGGUGGACUGCCAUGUCGGGUCCCAACACCACGAACCGGAAGCCAAUGGCAUCCCGCACUAUGCUAGUGAGAUGGGUCUUAUGGAAUGGGAGAAAUGCACGGGUCCUCCAAAAGAAAUCUACACCAUCGUACCACAUCUUGAAGCUCGUGCAAGACGAGGCUAAGCAUUUGACCACCGCCUUGGCUAAGCAUUUGGAUACCAUAAUGGCGCGAAUUGUCUUGUAG
rnacentral:rRNA from 1 species